CCAGCCCCUCAACUUUCACACGCUGCUCUCCCGUUAUUUGCCUCCUUCCCUCCCUGUCGCCCCUUUCCCUCCUCUCCCUCCUCCUCCUCCACCUCCUCCUUUUCCAGUUCAGCGGCGCAAAUUUCUGUUUGUGCCAGUGGGGCGGCCUGGCGAGACCGCAAUUGCUCUACCCCACAGAUUGACGAGCCCUCAGAUGCCGAUUUACUGUACAUGGCAGCCACGCUGGAGCCGCGGCACAUCUGGAGUGGAUUCACAGGCCAUACUCAACAUUUCGGCCUUCUGGUGGAUAAAAUUCCAGAUCCCAGUAGGAAAGGGCCAAAAUUCCUCAUGAAACAUCUUGCCCAGGUCUCAGCCUUCUCACAGAGGAAGCAGUGAACAUUACCUCCUUAUGGCUACUUAGGAACCGCUCGAGGUGAAACCCCAAGAGGAGGGGACUCUGCAUGGGAAAGGUGUCAGUCAGCAUGGAAAGACUGAAUUGCACAUCUCCAAGGUAAGCAAGACUUUAUCUACACAUGUGCUCAAACAGCAGUGAAACCUGUGGACUAGCAUUCAGAAACUAUGUGUAUUCCAGUAGGCUUCAUGCUUUGUGAUCAUCAUUCAGAAAUGAAGACAGGAGAGCACUUGGAGAAUCAGAGGGGAUUUAAGGGUUUGAGAAGUGUAUCAGUAGGUGUUAGUCUGCAAAAACAUGUGUGUGGGAAAAGGGCAGUUAAACUACACCUAUGAGUACUGUACUUUAAAAGGCAAUAGAUCUCUUUAAAAUCUAAAUAAACUGAGAAACCUUCCUAGAAGUAAAAAAA